rnacentral:rRNA from 1 species
ACGAACGCUGGCGGCGUGCUUAACACAUGUAAGUCGAACGGAAAGGCCCUGCUUGCAGGGUACUCGAGUGGCGAACGGGUGAGUAACACGUGGGUGAUCUGCCCUGCACUUCGGGAUAAGCCUGGGAAACUGGGUCUAAUACCGGAUAGGAGCCAUUUUUAGUGUGAUGGUUGGAAAGUUUUUUCGGUGUAGGAUGAGCUCGCGGCCUAUCAGCUUGUUGGUGGGGUAAUGGCCUACCAAGGCGGCGACGGGUAGCCGGCCUGAGAGGGUGGACGGCCACAUUGGGACUGAGAUACGGCCCAGACUCCUACGGGAGGCAGCAGUGGGGAAUAUUGCACAAUGGGCGCAAGCCUGAUGCAGCGACGCCGCGUGGGGGAUGACGGCCUUCGGGUUGUAAACUCCUUUCGCUAGGGACGAAGCUUUUUGUGACGGUACCUAGAUAAGAAGCACCGGCUAACUACGUG